rfam:Tumebacillus algifaecis strain THMBR28 chromosome, complete genome.
GCGAGUGUGGUGGAAUGGCAGACACAACAGACUUAAAAUCUGUCGGGGGCAACCCCGUGCCGGUUCGAGUCCGGCUACUCGCA